GAGAAACUACUAGUCAUGUCCAUAACUUAAAAACACCACCAAAACAUAAGUACAUGAUCCAGGAUAAGUUAAAAGAGAUAGCAAACCACAGAGCCAAAAGAUGUGAAAUCUUUUAGCAGAGUGAUUUACCUAUUUAAGUCUAGACAAAAUAUUUAACUACCACCGUCUUCUCAAAAGAGUUUUGAACCAGAAACUAUUCACAAACCACACAUAAAAAAGAAAAGCAUGAAGGCGUUACGCGCCUUAGCAAAAGAACAUAGAACUGGAAACUUUCUCCUCGAGCUUUGGAAGCUGAGGAACGGAGACUGGUCCAGCAUUGGUUACUCCAUUAUGACUUGAGGAAGUCUCUGAUGCAUCUUCAAACUUCAUCCACUGUCCCAUUUGAGUAGCAGCAAGAUGGGCAUAACAGAUAGGAGCAACAACAGAUAUUGCAGUGGUGCUUCUCUGGUACACAUAAGAGAGAUUAUGAACAAGCUCUUGAAGAUCAUCAGCAGAGAAACCCAGCUCAUCAUACAAGACGUGAUAGUGAGUAGGACGAGUUGUACCAAUCAUUCCAGCAUGAGCACACAGGUAAAAGUCAUAAUUCCUUGGGUGACAGACUUUGUUGUCUAUGAUUGUGCCUGGAGGAACAUUGUUAGGAUCAUUAGGCUGGAAAAACUUGGUAUGAUGGUUCUUCUGGGCAACUAUCACCACAAACUUGGGUGACCACUUCUCAUCAAGAAACUUACAAGCCUCAAUAAUCUGGUCCAGCUCAACAUUCAGAACUUGACUAAACUGAGAUUCACUGACACCAUCCCUGAAUAUUAUUAUAUGCUCGGGCUUCCUUUUUCCAGAGCUCACAUAAAAAUCUAGCAACGCCUCCCUCAUUAUUCCAUCAUCUUCAGUAUCAGAGGUACGUUUAAACAAGUUGUCUAUCAUCUCCACUUUAGGAGACUGAGUACGAACUGAAGCUCUGUAACGAGAUAUUGAUGGCCACUGCCUUGAACUGACAACCGCUGCAAUUGAAGGGACAUCAGAUUGGCCAGGAGAGCCAUGGGACACAUCCAUCCCAAGAAUAAUGGUAGGGACCUUAGACACCAUAGGGAUUGCAGGAGAAUGUUCAACAGUUAACAUAGAGUUCAAACCUCCAAGCUUCGCGUUUAUCUUCAGGAGCACAUUGGUGAUAUAUUGAUCAUUGACUCUUGUUGGAGCUAUACACUGGGUAACAAUGCCAUACUCAGCAAGAUUCUUUCGCUUCCAUGGUCCGUAUACAUCACAGUUUUUCCUCUCAGGAAGCAAACAAAGCAGGAAUUUAGGUGCCCCGGGUAGCUUGGAUUGAACCUGCUCAAACAUCUUCUCAACCCUCACAAGUGGUGGAGCCCUCCUGACUUGUGGAGACUCCUCAAAGACAUCAAAUGGGUCUUCCACCAUAAUUCCUUUCUGUUUUCCACAUUUGAUCAGAUCACUGACUAGCCCUUGUACAUUGCAGCGUGCAGAAAAAUUGACAACGGCCCAGCGUUCUAUCUUAGUGGGAUCAACUAGUCUCUUAUUAUUGAAAUUCCAUCUGCCAUUACGAGGGACAAAGUCAUCACCGCCCGUCUUCAGCUUUGGGGGAGGAAGAACACGUCCUUCAAUCUGAGUGAAGUUAUUGCUAAUGGAUAUUCCACAGGAACGAAGCAGAGGCUCAGCAUCAUAUUGGUUGAUUUUGAGAGCAUUGCUUAAGACUUGCAUCCUCUCCUGAGGCUUUUGCCUUGAUUUCUCAACUAGUGAAGACCUCUGGAAUGUGGACAAGGAUUUUGUGUAUCUUUGCAAAGACACCAAGGAACAUAGCUCAAUUGGGAAAAAGGUGGGACGCUUUGGUUUCCCAACAUUUAUGCAGGGUAAAUCAGCAGAAUAACGCAACUCUAUGUUGCGGUGGUUGACAAAGUAAUCGAACACAGUAACUUCAGUAGUUUGGACCUCACCAUCUGCAUCUUUUCCUUUCUGCUUCAGGGUAAAUAGUUGCUCACGACAAGGACGGUCACUCAGUCCAGUAAUCUUGUACUCUUGAUUAGUGGGGGUUGUCUUCACCCUCAAAUUCUUGAGCACACGUUUUGCCUUUGCCCAAUCCAGUGAAAAGGGAUCCUUUGCAUUUUGAUUUGCAAUCAAGAAGUCCACGACAGGCCCAGGCUGGAUAAUCAUUGUUGUAGACACAUCAAUGUUCAAAGACAAGCCACUCUGGGUAGUCCGGAAGCUGGAAUGGAAUCCUCGACAACCAAGCACACCAGCGCCGACAUCAACAAAGUUCUUGGGAUCAUUGUGGAAAAAGGAUUGUCGAACAAGCAGGCAACCCUGCUUUGCAGCAUGCUGCCUCAAAAUAAUAUCCAAGACUCGCAAGGCUUCUUGAGAGUUCUCAGACUCUUGACCUCGCAAAGCAUUUGCAAUCGCCUGCAUUGGAAUCUUGGCAGCAAAGCUAAUCUCCACCUUAUAAGUUUUAGAUUGGUAUGGCCGCCUUAAUCUUUUCCUAUCAGUUUCAUUAGGAGGGCUUCCAUGUCUGCCAGGGCUAGAGUUGCCAUUGGUACCGUUGUUCCGAUUAGAUGUUAUGUCAUCUAGUACAACUGUGAACUCUAGUUUAUUUCUAGGUAGUGAACCGAUGGUGAACAAACUCUUCUCCCCAUCAUAUGCAAAAUCCUUCCCAGCCAAUUCUGUAUCAUAUGUUUCAUGCACUCUAUCCAGAACUUUUCUGCCAAUGCCUUUUCCCUCGACAGGUCGACCAUCCUCAUAAAAUAAGGCAACACUGUAAUGAAAGAAGUGUCCAUCAACAUUAGACACGUUCACUUUAAAGUGAUUGGUAAGGAUCGGAAUCUUUUGUCCCUUGCUUCCAAGGCCACGCCUUGCCAUGGGAACACGUAAAACCUUCUUCUUCACUGGCUCUGGUUCAGCUUGUGCAGGAGAGAAAUUAAGUGGAACAGGGGGAGGAGGAGGCAGAGCCUCUGUGGAUCCACCAUUCUCUUCUUCAGCCAUUACCACAAUCUUCUAAAGCUCAAAAAUGGCGGAUGAAGAAACAGAGUGAAGAGGUGAAACCCUAAUGUACGACAAAAGAGAAAAGAAAAGAGUGAGGUUGUAGUUGAACU
rnacentral:misc_RNA from 1 species